rnacentral:lncRNA from 1 species
UUUUACUAGAUUCAGGGCUUCUUCUCCAGACAUGUACAGGGCUGGAGAGGGCCAAGAAGUCUGGUAGAUCUUAGUAAAAGGAUCUGAAAGCAAACCUCACGGUGCUAUGGGACUGCGCACCUUGCUGAUGAGGAUGUUGUCCUGCCUUGUGUGACCACUGGCUCCCAGCUUACCUUCCCCUGCAAAUCUGCCAUCUCUUGUUGCUCUUCAACAGUUAUCUCAGGUAAAGCACAAAGACCUGAGUUGAAACAGCUUCUGGAUGAAUUGGUAGAAGAUGUCUAGGUAGGUGGAGGCCCUGGGGGGAACCGGCCAAAACAAUUAGACUCCUGUGCUAUACUCACUGCCCUGGUACCACAUAGGUUUGUGUACUCCUGCACAUGCUCUCAUACCAGACCAGAAGUUUUCUCUAGCUGAAAGGUGAGAAAGUAUGGGAGGUUGUGGUGGUUUUACCAUGCUGGGCAGCUAAACACCACAACCGCUCUCUCACUCCCCCUCUUUAGAUGAGGAGGGGGAGAAGUAAAGCAAAGAACAACUCACGGGUUGAGAUAAGGAUAAUUUAAUUAAAGGGAAACAAUAAUAAUAAUUAAAGAAAGAUUAUUAU